GUGGAGUCUCCUCAAGGGUGGUCACAGGGAAGAGUCUCAUGAGAACUUCGAACCUCUGACAUUAAAGGUUUGUUUGCUUUUUUGCUUAAGUUGCCACACCUACACGGAACAUGGGGUUUUGAGUUUGAAGGGUCUGUCACUUAGUGCAUGACCUUGACCAAGGUUUCUGAGACUUUCCUCACCUCGAGGACGGAGGUUGAGAUGCUUGUCUCUGAGGGUGAGUGACCUCAAGGAGAGGGCUGUACAGAGCCCUUGUUUCCACACAGUGACACUUGGUGGCUGUUGUCACUCCCCUUCAGCUCUGUUAGUCCCACAAUGGAUUUUUUUAUUGUCUUCUCUUUUUCAAAGCAUCUUGGUUCAUCAUUCCAAAGCAUAAUAUUUCAAAGGACAUGGGUGAGACGUCAUUUUUCUAUGAUCAAAGGCAAAGUGUGCAGCUGAGUUUCCUGAAGGAAAGGCCAGUGCCGUGGUCCCCGGGUGUCCAUGGGGCUGGGCUCCAGGACGUCCUGUGGCUGUUGAGUCUGUGGGUGCUGACGUCCUCCAGGAGACGGGCAGCGCUGGCCUGUCACCUCCACACUCCCCUCCCCUUGACACCACCUCUAGGUUGCCGUCAGCCUACAAUAAGGCUGCUGCAGGAGAAGCCCCUCUACUGUGCUAUUUAGGCAGCGAGGACAGGAAAAAGCUGUUCCUUUUGGUUUGCGUUUCUCUGAUUCUAGAGGUGUUGCACAUUUUUCCAUAUAUCUGCUGAUUGGUUGUAUUUCUUCUGUGAAGUGUCUGUUCAAUCCCUUCGCCCAUUUAUUGAUUGGGUUAUUAUCAUUAUUAUCGCCAUCCAUCCAAGCUGGCGACCUGUCCUGGGUUCACAAAAUCUGACUAUUCCAAUAACCUAAGAAAACGACAAAGAAGGCACUCAACCGCACAGAAGUACCUUUUCAAAAUCCAUGACGGCUCUCCGACCUUAAGGGUCCUUGGAAAGAGAGCGGGCCACUGGAAGUCUUCAUUCUUAUACAGGGCACACACAAGGGGAGGUUCCAUGGAACAUUCUAUCCCCCAAAGGGCAAAGGGGAAGGAUUACAAAGGAACAGGUGAGUGUGGCUCACCCCCAGUGGGUGACACCUACUCCUGGAGCCACACCUUGUUAUCCGAGCUGGGGUGACGCCCAGGUUACUGCGACGCACAUUAAAGGCAGUAACUGUUCAGAACCCGGUGCAUCAGGACUUAAAGGUGUCUGCAUCCAGGGCAGCUUCCGACAUAUUAAUAUUAUUUAUUUAUUUAUUGGAGUUAAGUUUUUGAGUUCUUUGUAUAUCCUGGAGAUCAGUGCUCUAUCUGAAGUGCAGGUGGCAGAGAUUUUCUCCCAUCCUUAGGCUCUCUCUUCACAUGAUUCUUUCUUUUGCUGAGAAGAAGCUUUUUAGGUUGAAUCCAUCCCAUUUAUUAAUUCUUGAUCUUACUAAAUAAAAAGGUAGGCAAAAAAAAUCUAUUUGCAUUCAAUACAGAAAUAUUUUUUAAAAAAAAUAAAUUUAAGAACUGUGGUUGCUUGAACCCACAGCCGCAGAGGUCGUGGAUUCUCUGGGCCAACUCUUGUUUUUGUUUGGUCAAAAACACUAAUGGAACAUUCUCUGUGUUUGCAGAAUUUUUGGCAGGACCCAGAUAAGUUCUGGGCCACGUGGGCCGUCCCUGUGGUGGUGAAGACUGGGUUUGAAUUCAGCACCCCCCGCUCACCGCCCUCUCUCAGCCUCUUGGCCUCAUCCGUGAGCUGCUGUAGCGGGAACCCCUUACUCAGGCUGCUGGGAAGCCCAAGGGAUUUGAGCGUGGGUAAGAACCUUCCCUGUCACACGGUGACCUUCUGUGGGCGUCGGCUCCUCCUGCACCAUGGAGGUGACUUUUCUUGCCUGGACCUGGGAAGUUCUACCUGGAGCUUUCCCGUGGUCUCCGUGUUCCUGAGUCCUGCCUGUUCCACGUGUCCAUUGGUGCAUAACCAAGUACCCCAAAUGGUGGCAAAACCAAAGAACUAGGUAGAUCCUGUGAGUCAGAGGUAGAGAGGGCACAGGGUGUCCUCUCUCUGUGUGUGACAUCUGGGCCCUCAGCCAGAGAGGCCCCAGCAGCAGUGGUGAGGUGAUGUUGAGGGCUAGGAUUGUCCCUCAUGAGUCUGGAAUGCUCCGGAUGGGGCUCCCUGGGCCUGCUGGCCAGUGUCCCCAUGUGGACUUGUGUGUGGCAUGAGAUUCUCUCAGCUUGGUGGCUGGUGUCCGAAAAGGAGUAACCACAGAGAAAGUGUCUCAUGGCCUUGGUGACCUGGCCACAGAGGUCACAAGGGUCCUGCCGCACUGCAGUGGCGUACAGGGGCACAAGCCCUCUCAAAGGGGUCAGGGUGGAUGGCACCCCCAGGGGGCGUGGCAAAGACUGGCAGUGCUCCUUCUUCCUCUCUGUCCCCAUUUCAUCCACUGCUCCUGUCCCCAGGUUCUCCUGGUGACAGUCCCUCACCCCAGGGCUGGACCCCAGAGCGUCCCUCCUUGGCCUCUGCUGCUCUCGGCACACCCAGGCAGAGCCCCUGCUGGGCCUGCUCCAGCCCCCUCACACCGUCCUCGGCUCUGACUCCAUCUGCCGCAGGUAGGUACCAGGGGAAGGUCAUUAGCACUCAGGACAGAGCCCAGGGAGACGACACAGCCCCAGCCAGCUCUAUGCGACCUGAGGACAACGAGGACCUGCGGCUGCUUCCAAGUGAGACCCUGGAGAGGCGGCCAGACCUUCAGACACGGUGAUGCCCUCCAGCAGGAGAGGCUUAGAGAGCCACUUAGAAAGACCUGGAGUUACCCAAGGAAACGGACGCGGAAGGGUCUUUCAGGAAAGAAGGAGAGAGACUCUUCAUUCCCUGACCCGGGUCGGUCACCAAGGCAAUGUCUGGCCUCCUAGGACAGAGACAGGACCCCAGGGUAAACAGCUGGGAACCCCAGAUCACGAAGACUGACCUUCAGCCUCCUUGAUAACGGUGGGUAGCCUCAAGGUAGAAAUGGCCCAGAUUUAGGACAGUGAAGUCCCUCUGCACAUCUGAGUGCACAGAGUGCCAUCCACGUUCACGGCACACAUUUAAGGCUUGGUGUUGGUAGAGGUUUCUGGAGAGGGGGGGUGUAUCCGGUAGGAUACCGUGUGACACUGUUUUCCUUACAACCAAUUCUGGUUUCUGUUGUGGUGAAAUUUUAUUAUGUGUGGGACUUUUGUCCAUGAUAUUGAAGGGACACCGCUGUCAGGCAGAAGGACGAGUUAAGAUGGGGGUUGGCAUCCGUCACGUCACCCUCACAGAGACCUGCUGUGUGUCAAACACUGUGUUGGGGUUAGAGGUCCCAGGUCAGAAGGACAUGGCCUUGGCCCUUGUCAAUGGAGCUCACGUUCUGAUGCUCUGGAGCAGGCAGGAUCUCUAGCCGUCCCCAGGUCAGGUCUCAGGCUCGUGGCUGGACACAGGCUGGGGUGUGGGAAAUGUGGUCAACUCAGGGAAAGGGUGCACUUGGAUCCCCCUCCUGCAGACACAAGACCAUGGUCCGUGGCAACUCCUCCUUCCCUGCGGCAUCCACUCCUCACCCCUUCCGUAUUCUGGGGUGGGGCACGUCACCAUUGCAUGAUCUGUUUAGACUGAACCGCUGACUUUACAGUGAUCUCCAUCCACACAGAAGUUGUGGGAAUAGCAGGAGCACUGAUCUCUGCUUCUGUUCCGUGUCAGUGGAAGACAGUUGUUAGGAAGAUGCACUGGGUCUAGUGUCACCUUAAUUACGGGUUCAGGAAGGCAGGUUCCCCUGUAUAGUGUUAGGCUUAACGCCACGGGCUCCUCCGAUUUGUUCCCAUGAAUCACCUUCUGGCACCCACAGAAAUCAGGUGACAAACAGGACUAAUGUGACAUUCGCACAAAACACUGCAUUACUUCCAUGCGGUUGACCCUAUUCCAGUGACACCAAGCCAAAUCAGGUUAUUGAGGGGUGAGUGGUGAUUUAACACCCCGAUUUGUAGGUGGUUUUGUCUGAGCCUGGCGUAUUAUUUACACCAUUCACGGUGGGUUCAAAGAUGUACUAGGUGCACAGUUUGUUUGGUGUGGCCGCCCAUCUCUCCCCAUACCCACGGAAAUACACUCCUGAAUGAAUCGCCACUCUCUCCGCGGAGGACGCCCUGGACCAUCUUCCUACCAGGUUCUGAAUGAUGACAUGAUUUUUUUUGAUAACUGAUAUUUUUUGAUAACUCAAGAGUUACCAUAAAGCAACAUGCAUUAUGAGACUUGAAGAACCAAGACUUAGAAGAAGGCAGAGUAUCAUCCAAGCCCAGGAAAACUUGAUAGUUGCCUAAUAUUACUAUAAAGGGAGGCUGAGGUCCUCUCUGAACUGGAGUCAGUCUCUUUGGGAGCAAGCACCUUUCUGCCUGAGUCCUCUUCUCCAUGUAACUUGGGAGCAGUUUUGAAUCUUGAGGCUCAGCUCACUGUUAUCCCUGGGAAGCCCUGUGUUGCCGAGAGCAGCCCCUUCUGAACCACCCACUCCAUCACCCUGUGGGGUGCUGUCUGCUCUUUGUCUUCCUGUAUCUUCCUGCAGGCCACUCUCUCUGCCCCAGGUGUACGUAUGAUCACCUAGGACCAGCUCCUAUUGUAGCUAGCUUCCCUUGUGCGUGGAGUACACAAUGGCUAUUGAAAAAAAAGAAACAUACAAAAGAUUAUCCUUAGGAAGAGGAGAUACGGCCACCUUCUAACUUUUGCCCUCUGUGCAGGUGCAAUGGUGGAACCCAGGCAAUCACAUUACACCCUGAGGUAGAAGCCAAGUGUUUGGAAUGGUGAACUACAAAUACAGGUCCCCAAUCAAUCCAUAAAACUGCCUUAUUGUUUCUGAAGAGUCAAUCUCUGACCUUCUUCAAUGUGAGAAAUACAGAAACUUUUUAAGGCACAAUCAGCCUUCAAUACACAUAGCAACCAGUCCAGCAUAUGCACCUGACCCACCCAUCCAGGACAGAGGCCAGUGGCAAAGAACUCUGGUGGCUUCCAUGGUAUAAACCAGCUGAUUUGCAGCCAUGGUUAAGGCUGGGCUGUUGAAUCUUCUGCCACUUGCAGCUAAACCUGAUUCUACUAUCAUGCCCUGUUUAUUCCAUGCCCUUAGUUAUGGUCUAUUAUCAUCUUUUCAUUCUUCUUGUUUAUUAUCCUCUGAUCCUUAACAUGGAAUCUCCAGGAGGGCAGAGAUCUCUGGGUCUGUCAUUAGAACGCUUCUCGGCUGCAUGUUCGAAGAAUGAAUGAACUAAUUCUUUAAUUUUUUUUAUUGCGAGAUAAAAUAUCUUGAGAAUUGCAAAUCUGGAGGAGUAAAAUGAAUUCUAUUUGGAGGACUAGGGCUGGCAGAGGAAUUGACAAAAGUUUUUCUUUUCUUUUCUUUUUUUUUCCCUCCCAGACUUAAAAAAAAAAAAAAAGAAAAAACCUGAUGAAAUUAGCGGUAGAUAAAAAUUCAUUUCCAGAUUCUAACAAGGACUCACAAACAAUGGAGAACAUAUAAAUAGAGAAGCAGCUUUAUUAAUAAUCCUUUGCGACUCCGUUCGUGAUCUUCUGGUGACAACCCUACCGGAGGCGCUCUUUAUCAGCCACCGAGGCAAUUUAGAUGCUGUCACAUGCCUUUCUUGAUAUAUACGUAUUAGACAUAAAGCAGUUUUCUCUUCUUUGGCUUAUUUUAGUAUAUAAUUAAAACUGUGACUGUCUGCUACUAAGCAACGGAGCAUGGCCGAGGUUGAUCACAUCCUAUCACAAAGAUAGAAAGAGGAAAAAUAAUAAAAAUAAUCAUACACAUUCCUGCUAUCGGCCUUCAGAUCUUAAUUAUGUUUUAACUCCUUUGUUAGACCAAAGGCACUGCCUGUUGGCAUUUAAAGAACACCCUCACUUUUCUGCCGGAGUUCAAUCUAGUUCUUUAAUUUGGAUCCCAGUCCAUUUGUGGAAUUCUUUGGGUGGCAUUUAAGGUCAUUAGGGGUGAUGGAUGCUGAGAUAGGAGUCGGGCGGUGCAGUUUCCAUUCAGCCAUCAAACUGGGCAGGUGCGUGCAGGGCGCAACCAGGUUCCAGACUCUGAAAACGGAGGCUGGGGCGGGGUGCGUGGGAGCUGGGGAGGUGGGUCUGCACCCCCGGAGGGUGGGCGAGUGCCCACCAGCACCCAGCAGCCCCCACCCUUCUCCUGGGGGCCCACCUCUGCAGCCCAGCCUCAAGUGCACG
rnacentral:lncRNA from 1 species